rnacentral:rRNA from 1 species
UGAACGCUGGCGGCAUGCUUUACACAUGCACGUCGAACGGCAGCGCGGGCUUCGGCCUGGCGGCGAGUGGCGAACGGGUGAGUAAUACAUCGGAACGUGCCCAGUAGUGGGGGAUAGCUCGGCGAAAGCCGGAUUAAUACCGCAUACGACCUGAGGGUGAAAGCGGGGGAUCUUCGGACCUCGCGCUAUUGGAGCGGCCGAUGGCAGAUUAGCUAGUUGGUGGGGUAAAGGCCUACCAAGGCGACGAUCUGUAGCUGGUCUGAGAGGACGACCAGCCACACUGGGACUGAGACACGGCCCAGACUCCUACGGGAGGCAGCAGUGGGGAAUUUUGGACAAUGGGCGAAAGCCUGAUCCAGCAAUGCCGCGUGUGUGAUGAAGGCCUUCGGGUUGUAAAGCACUUUUGGCGGGAACGAAAAGGACUGUGCCAAUACCACGGUUCGAUGACGGUACCCGCAGAAUAAGCACCGGCUAACUACGUG